GACGAACGCUGGCGGCGUGCCUAAUACAUGCAAGUAGAACGCUGAAGGAGGAGCUUGCUUCUCUGGAUGAGUUGCGAACGGGUGAGUAACGCGUAGGUAACCUGCCUGGUAGCGGGGGAUAACUAUUGGAAACGAUAGCUAAUACCGCAUAAUAGUAGAUGUCGCAUGACAUUUGCUUAAAAGGUGCAAUUGCAUCACUACCAGAUGGACCUGCGUUGUAUUAGCUAGUUGGUGAGGUAACGGCUCACCAAGGCAACGAUACAUAGCCGACCUGAGAGGGUGAUCGGCCACACUGGGACUGCGACACGGCCCAGACUCCUACGGGAGGCAGCAGUAGGGAAUCUUCGGCAAUGGACGGAAGUCUGACCGAGCAACGCCGCGUGAGUGAAGAAGGUUUUCGGAUCGUAAAGCUCUGUUGUAAGAGAAGAACGAGUGUGAGAGUGGAAAGUUCACACUGUGACGGUAUCUUACCAGAAAGGGACGGCUAACUACGUG
rnacentral:rRNA from 1 species